rnacentral:rRNA from 1 species
UACGUAGGGGGCUAGCGUUGUCCGGAAUCAUUGGGCGUAAAGAGCGUGUAGGCGGUCCGGUAAGUCCGCUGUGAAAGUCGGGGGCUCAACCCUCGAAUGCCGGUGGAUACUGUCGGGCUAGAGUGCGGAAGAGGCGAGUGGAAUUCCUGGUGUAGCGGUGAAAUGCGCAGAUAUCAGGAGGAACACCAACAGCGAAGGCGGCACUCUGGGCCGGUACUGACGCUGAGGAGCGAAAGCAUGGGGAGCGAACAGG